rnacentral:tRNA from 2 species
ACGGGUAUAGGUUAAUGGUAGACCUAUCGUUUUCCACGCGAAUUGUGUCAGUUCGAGUCUGACUACCCGUA